AACGCGAAGAACCUUACCUGGGUUGAACUAUGCAGGAAAAGCCGUAGAGAUACGGUGUCCUUCGGGCCGUGUGAUAGGUGGUGCAUGGCUGUCGUCAGCUCGUGUCGUGAGAUGUUGGGUUAAGUCCCGCAACGAGCGCAACCCUUAUCCUAUGUUGCCAGCGCGUUAUGGCGGGGACUCGUAGGAGACUGCCGGUGCCAAACCGGAGGAAGGUGGGGAUGACGUCAAGUCAUCAUGCCCCUUACGUCCAGGGCUGCACACGUGCUACAAUGGCCGGUACAAAGGGUUGCUACUCCGCGAGGAGACGCCAAUCCCAAAAAAGACCGGUCUCAGUUCGGAUCGUAGUCUGCAACUCGACUGCGUGAAGCUGGAGUCGCUAGUAAUCGCAGAUCAGCAUUGCUGCGGUGAAUACGUUCCCGGGCCUUGUACACACCGCUCGUC
rnacentral:rRNA from 1 species